rnacentral:pre_miRNA from 1 species
CAGAGAAGGAGGCCGGGACCAGCAUCUGCUGGUCCCGGCCUCCUUCUCUGC